rnacentral:misc_RNA from 1 species
UAACAUAACAUAACAUAACAAUACACUUUAUUGUACACCAAAACAGAAAUAAUACAUAUUAUGGACUUAAACAUAGUAUCAUCAGGCACAAAGGGCGGCCUUAUCGCUAAAAAGCGAUCUCUUCCAGGCAACCUAGGGGCAGAGGAGAUGGUAUUGUGUCAGUGUACAAAUUGAGACAUAAACGUUUGAAUAUAUUUACUUAUUUACAUACAUACAUACAUAAAC